UACACGUAAUUUUUACAAAAAUUUGAGUAAGACACACAAAAUUCACGUAUUAUACAAAUAAUUCUCACAUGUUAUUGAAUAAGAAUAACAUAUGUUAUAAAAAUUAUUAGAGUGGAAGAUUAAUAUCUACUUUGGAUAUGUUGAAACUAGCAAAUUAAUAUUUAUAAGGUACAAACUAAUGCAACUGGGAGGGUCCUUUUGGAUUUUUUAUUUUUUAUUUCUUUUAAUGAAAUAGUAUAGCCGUGCGGCUAUACUAAGAUUUUUUGAAAAAACAACUUUUGACACGUGGCGCUAAAAGAGAGGGUUCUCACUUUUUUAUUUAAAAAAAAGGUACAGCCCAACGGCUAUACUCCGUGUUUUAAAUUAUUUUUAAAAUUG
rnacentral:lncRNA from 1 species